CUGACAGGCACUGCUGCAAAGGACAGACCGGAAGAGUGAGAGUCCCAAGGGGAAAUGACCUUUCCUGAGCCCCCUACUGCUAGACUGGAGAAGACAUCCAGGGGUUGAGGCCUUCCCCAGCAGCCUCCAUGAGGGGCACCGGAAGCCAUCAUCCCCACAAAAGCCUCCCGUGCCCCUGCCUGCCUUUGAGGCUCUGCCAAGCACAGUGAUGGCGACUACAGCCUUAUUCUCGUUUGGAUGACAUUGAAAACAAAUUACCUCAUCCCUCUGGACCUCAGUUUACAUGGCUGUGGAAUGGAGGCAGCAGCAGUAACACCACG